CAGUCACUUAUUAAAAGCAACCUAACACGAACCAGUGUUGCAAAUUGAGUGAGUUGUGAGGACAAUAUUCCUGUCGUCAAGAGACUUUUUUUUCUGCCUGUUUGUCAAGGCCUGAUGUAAUGUUACAAUUGUUGCUGCCGUCAUCAUUAUGACAACUUCAACGGGGUGAAUAAAGUUUACAUUGAUUGAUAUUUAGUGACACAGAAACAAAAUAAGCUUUUUUUAAUGCUCCUCUGCCUCUUUAAUGUAAAUUAGCUAAGCAGGAGGACUCUGUGGAAACUUUACGUUAACAGCAAACUAUCUUGAAGUACGAAAAGAAAACGUGAGGCAACACUAAAGACGGAGGUUGUAUAACAGUAUUUUGAAGUGAAUAUUUCAUUUUCAUUUAAAGUUUUUUGCUGUUAGAACCGCGGAACGUCUGAGGUUUGGAGUUGCUUGGAGUUCUUUUCUGGCGGUAACCGUCAUCUGAAGAAACUGGUCACAGCAACUCCAGCACAUGCAGAGAGAAGCCUCUCUCUGCCCAGUACCCCAAGACUGAUUGCACUUGGUUCAUUCUGAGAAUAAACCCUGAUGGCACCAAAUCACAGAUCAAAAUCACAGAUCAGCCGGGCAUCUGGAAAAAGGGUGCAGAGAAAAAUCGCCAGCCUGAAUCCCCUAGUGGCAUCUUUUAUCAGAGAGCUGGUCGAAUUCGAUUGGCCAAAUUAUUUAAAAGAAAACACGACUAAAACAUGUUUUUACUGUUUGAUUUGUUCUGCUUUUCAGAAUGUUUACAUUUUUAGCCAUGUUACAAAUACACAGGAUGAAUUAAAACACAUUUGUAGAAUGUACCUUUUAAAGUAAAUGAUAAAUAAUGAAAUAGUUAAACAAUUAAACAGCACAUU